AUGCCGUUUGAUCUUUUAUCGGUUGACCAUAUUGUCGGGACCGGCACCCUCGCGCCAAGGCGCGUUGCCGAUCUAGUAAGGAGAUGGUUGAAGGAAAGUUGGAACCCUAACGAAGACAAAAAGGACCUCUACACCGACAGGACAUGGAAAACCGACGAGCUCACGUGCAUCCCACCAAUGUAUUACACCGACUAUGGUGGCGGCUGCCCUAGAGAAAACCCGCAGAUAUUUUCCAUUGAAGUGGAAUCUAUAAGAGGAGGUUUACGGUGGCCGCUAGACGUGUUUGGCGUCGUCACCGCGCGCGAUACUUUGCGAAUGGAACACAAUGUCCGUCUAGGACUCACACGUCCUACUCGUGCUGUCGUGGCUGAUUUCGACCCAGGGAGCUUUGAGGUUGUGCUCAAAGUUAAGGGCGCAACUGAAUCUGCUGAUAAAGACCUAAGUUUUCUAGUUCUGCCGUUAGAGGAACGUUAUCAAUAUUGUAGGUAUUAUACUAGUAAACAUAGCACACUGGAGUUGACGCUUCGCCGCGUUGAUCGUUCUGUGGAGGCGAAAAUCAGUCUGCGAAUCGCUGCUGGUUCAUCAUGGCCACGCGGUAUCCAGGGUGUAUUUACCGCCAGUAUUGCCAGUAUAGAUGAUGCUGAAGUUUCCUUGCUUUCUUUUGAAGAUGAUAAAUUGCCGGUUUUUGCCGAUGAUGGCACCAUCAAGCUGACACGACGCGUUGUCUCCGUUGAAUGCGAGCAUGGAGAGCUGAAAGUUUCUGCCACAACAUGGUGUGCAAAUGAUGAGCCAUAUGCUAUGACAAAUGACAUAGUUUUCACACCUAGGUUCACGGGUAGAAGUUGUGGUGUGCUUAAUGGCACAUGUAAGAUCCAAAUCACUGUGGCCUGGUCCCUUUUUGACUGGUAA
rnacentral:rRNA from 1 species